AGUCCAACUGGGCAUCAGGACAAAGAAGCUGCCCCUGCAUGAAGACAUUUGUGUUUACUUCCUGAACUUCACUGAAAAGGGAUUUUACAGCCCUGGGCCUGGAGGGUCACCCAUGUCAUCCCAACAUUAGGAAGGCUGAAGCAGAAAAAUUGCCAAGUGGGAGGCUAGCCUGGGCCACACAGCGAGACUCUGACCCAGACAGGACAAACCAACACUUUACAAAAAUGUCGGCACCCCUUGAGUGGGUCUAAUCUGGAAGCUGGCCAACUCGGAAAAGAAACUGAAGGUACAACUAGCUAUACAAAUCGGUGCUGCUUGCCAAUAACACAGGGUGGCCACUGGCACAGGGUAGUGUGGCCACUUGUGGCCUGGGAGACUGGGUCUGUCUAACCCACAGUGUAACCACCCUACUGCCACACCCACCGAACAGAAUGGGUAUAAAAAGCCAGCGUCUGGCCCUGCAUCUAAAGGGCCAGUAUGACCCCAGGGUUGUAGGAUGCUGUACCAGAAACACAGCUGUUCUGGGGCAGGCGUGGGACAAAGGCUUUGCAUCUGGAAAUCAUCCAAAGCUUCCAGCUGUCAGAGUCAAACCAGGAACCAUGGAAACCAGGCCCUUGCAGCUCUGUGUCGCUCUCUGCUUACACUUUCAGGGACCAUGCCUUGCUGGUGGGAAGCUUCAGUCAACCAUGGCUCCACUUGGAACAUCAGAUCCCACAGGCCAAGACUCCACCCCUCCACAGGAUGGACCUCACUUCACACUUCAGGUCCUGGCUGGUAUUGGUGCUUUGGAUAGAUUUGUAUAAACUGGGAGUGGGUGGGUGGUUAUGCCUUGAAUUUGAGUUCCUCUGAGUAUACUUUGUCAUUUGCUAGAAUUAUUCAUAGAACUCUAAAAGACAUUUUAUAUACAUUGACGUCUUUCUUUUCAAGGGGGCAGCUUUAAGACUGAGCAUGUCGCAAAGGUUCUGAGGGAUAGGGAAGGCUGUCAUGGCCUUGGCAGGCACUACCCUCCACAGCUCCCACAUCUGGAAGUUCUCUGAAUCCUACAGUUCCUCUUUGUUGGUGGUUGCGGGGAAAUAUAAAAAAAUGAACGAGC
rnacentral:lncRNA from 1 species